UAAGGAAUAUUGGUCAAUGGACGGAAGUCUGAACCAGCCAUCCCGCGUGCAGGAUGAAGGUCCUAUGGAUUGUAAACUGCUUUUAGCAGAGACGAAACGCCGACAUUUAUGUUGGUCUGACGGUAUCUGCGGAAUAAGCACCGGCUAACUCCGUGCCAGCAGCCGCGGUAAUACGGAGGGUGCAAGCGUUAUCCGGAAUCACUGGGUUUAAAGGGUGCGUAGGCGGAUGAUUAAGUCAGUGGUGAAAGCU
rnacentral:rRNA from 1 species